CAGUAGCCGCGGUAAUACGUAGGUGGCAAGCGUUGUCCGGAACUAUUGGGCGUAAAGAGCUCGUAGGUGGUUUCUUAAGUGCGAGGUGAAAGGUUCAGGGCUCAACCCGAACACUGCCUUGCAUACUGGGAGACUUGAGUACGGGAGAGGCGAAUGGAAUUUCUGGUGUAGCGGCGAAAUGCGUAGAUAUCAGAAGGAACACCCAUGGCGAAGGCAGUUCGCUGGCCUGUAACUGACGCUGUAGUGCGAAAGCGUGGGGAGCAAACAGGAUUAGAUACCCCAGUAGUCCCUGUCUCUUAUA
rnacentral:rRNA from 1 species